UACGUAGGGUGCGAGCGUUAAUCGGAAUUACUGGGCGUAAAGCGUGCGCAGGCGGCUUGCCAAGUCAGAUGUGAAAGCCCCGGGCUCAACCCGGGAACUGCGUUUGAAACUGGCAGGCUAGAGUUUGGCAGAGGGGGGUGGAAUUCCACGUGUAGCAGUGAAAUGCGUAGAGAUGUGGAGGAACACCGAUGGCGAAGGCAGCCCCGUGGGCCAAAACUGACGCUCAGGCACGAAAGCGUGGGGAGCAAACAGG
rnacentral:rRNA from 1 species